GACGAACGCUGGCGGCGUGCUUAACACAUGCAAGUCGAACGGAAAGGCCCUGCUUUUGUGGGGUGCUCGAGUGGCGAACGGGUGAGUAACACGUGAGUAACCUGCCCUUGACUUUGGGAUAACUUCAGGAAACUGGGGCUAAUACCGGAUAGGAGCUCCUGCUGCAUGGUGGGGGUUGGAAAGUUUCGGCGGUUGGGGAUGGACUCGCGGCUUAUCAGCUUGUUGGUGGGGUAGUGGCUUACCAAGGCUUUGACGGGUAGCCAGCCUGAGAGGGUGACCGGCCACAUUGGGACUGAGAUACGGCCCAGACUCCUACGGGAGGCAGCAGUGGGGAAUAUUGCACAAUGGGCGGAAGCCUGAUGCAGCAACGCCGCGUGCGGGAUGACGGCCUUCGGGUUGUAAACCGCUUUCGCCUGUGACGAAGCGUGAGUGACGGUAAUGGGUAAAGAAGCACCGGCUAACUACGUA
rnacentral:rRNA from 1 species